AUUGAACGCUGGCGGCAGGCUUAACACAUGCAAGUCGAGCGGAGAUGAGGUGCUUGCACCUUAUCUUAGCGGCGGACGGGUGAGUAAUGCUUAGGAAUCUGCCUAUUAGUGGGGGACAACAUUCCGAAAGGAAUGCUAAUACCGCAUACGCCCUACGGGGGAAAGCAGGGGAUCUUCGGACCUUGCGCUAAUAGAUGAGCCUAAGUCGGAUUAGCUAGUUGGUGGGGUAAAGGCCUACCAAGGCGACGAUCUGUAGCGGGUCUGAGAGGAUGAUCUGCCACACUGGGACUGAAACACGGCCCAGACUCCUACUGGAGGCAGCAGUGGGGAAUAUUGGACAAUGGGCGGAAGCCUGAUCCAGCCAUGCCGCGUGUGUGAAGAAGGCCUUUUGGUUGUAAAGCACUUUAAGCGAGGAGGAGGCUACCUGGAUUAAUACUCUAGGAUAGUGGACGUUACUCGCAGAAUAAGCACCGGCUAACUCUGUGCCAGCCGCCGCAGUAAAAC
rnacentral:rRNA from 1 species